rnacentral:lncRNA from 1 species
GCAGAAUUCUACCAGAGGUACAAGGAGGAGCUGGUACCAUUCCUUCUGAAACUAUUCCAAUCAAUAGAAAAAGGGAAUCCUCCCUAACUCAUUUUAUGAGGCCAGCAUCAUCCUGAUACCAAAGCCUGACAGAGACACAACAAAAAAAGAGAAUUUUAGACCAAUAUCCCUGAAGAACAUUGAGGCAAAAAUCCUCAAUAAAAUACUGGCAAAUCGAAUCCAGCAGCACAUCAAAAAGCUUACCCAUC